UAGGUUAACAUAUUCAACAAUACAUACAAAAAUUUCAAUCCCAUAAAUUUACAUUAUUUGAUCAAACAAGGUGUAGAGAGCAAAUAUGGCCACCGUUUGCAAAGUUGGUUUCUUCACCAUCCUUGUGUGUGGUAUUUUUCUAUUGGGAAGCAAUGUGGAAUUAGCAAAUGCUCAGACAGCUUGUCUGGAGGUUUGUGAACCUGAAGCAGCCUAUAUGAUCUGCCCACCGAACAUAAAGACUGAACCAGUCUGCAGCAAUUGUUGUAAACUUGAGAACACUGGUUGCCAGCUCUACCGUUCCAAUGAUUCUCCCAUUUGCACUUAAACCAAAUAAUCUCUACCAUAAUAAUGUCUCAAUCAUCAUAUAUACAUGGAAUAAGAUUAUUGUAAUAA